GCUGUUAACUCAGCAUAUGUGACCGCAUUCAAACUCUUCCUGCCUGUAAGGAAGAACACGAGUGUCACAGCAAUGCCAGUAAUGACUCAGGCCAUAUCCUGCUGGUCGUAGUAGUUCUCCGUCUCCCCAGAGAGGCUGCUAUUAAAUGA
rnacentral:lncRNA from 1 species